UAUGUUCAUGCGUGUGUUAUGCAUGACUUGAUUUCAAACCAAACUGAUUUGAUCCCUGUACAUGCUUUGCAGACCAUAUCCACUUCUAUGAUCAACACACGCAGAGCUCUAGAUUGCAACUGGGUACAACAUAGAUUGCAUCACCUCUGUGCUGCACCCCUAACUCAGAUAGAUCUACUAGCCAAACACAUUCAUGUUGAUGACCAACAACCAUCCGACUCGGCCGUCAUCAGAUAUUGCGUCACGAUUUCCGUCAUCAGAUAUUUCGGCACGAUUUCGAUUGAUAUUCUCCCUUCUUCUACUGUGAGAAAGAGAGUCGGCCAACGCUGCGUCAGAUAUUGAAAUUAGAAUUCUCGACCAACACAUCCAAAAUGAUAGAUUCUUCCUCCCAGCUUAGCAGCAAGAUUGAGAUUGUCACAAAAUGAAAUAUUUCGUCCCAGAGAUUGAGAUCUAGAGUUCAUCACACAAUGAAAUCUUUCAUCCCAGAGUUUGAGAGCACCUCACACUGAAAUCUUUCGUCCCAGAGUCAAGGUCACGGUCGAGAUCAAGGAGUCCAAGGGGUAAGCGGAGUAGGAGUUACACGAGGAGCCCAUCACGCAGCCGUUCACCAAAGUACAAGAAGCGCAGCAUGACUAGAAGCAGAACAAGGAGCCCAAUCCGAAGGUCCAGGACCCCCCAUAGAUCAAGAAGUCGUUCCCAUGAUUGAUCCGGAGACUGACCAGAACUUACAAAGCUGCCAAUUUACACAGAAAAUAUGUACUGGUGUAAUUUACAUGGACUCGGCUUUCCACAGAAUACCAGUACCGGUUCUCGUGUAGAGUUACAUAGCUUAUCAGGCAGUUCUCCAGAUGUCAUACUACUGUCCUCAUUUUAACUAUGGCAAUUCAUUUUCACAUUUGUUCCCAUCAUUUCUUACUAUAAAUAUCAAAAACAGUUGGGUUUUUUCUUGAGUUUUAGAUGCUGUAUGUUGCAUUGUUUAGUUUCCUUAUCUUAUGAAUAAUAUUGUCUUAAUACAAGUCUAGUGUUUGCUCGUUUAUUUUAGUAACAAUUUCUAUGGUAGACAAUUUUUAUUUUGACCAUCAUGACUCGGUGUCCGCAGACCAGUUAUAGUCUGUACAUACUCGUUUUCAUCUCAUUCCAAGUGAUUCAUUCUGGCACCCUACAUUGGGGCAUCAAAUGCAAGUUUGUGCUGGAACAGAAGGAUCAGAUUUUGGGGAACAUUAUAUUGAUGCAAUGACGUCACCGAUUGAUGUUAUCCAUGUGUGUAAAUAAAUAGAACAAACAAC